rnacentral:rRNA from 1 species
AUGUUGUCGAUGAAGCUAUCCGGUGAGAGCCUUACUGCUUUUCCCGGGAAGACGGGAGGGCGCCUAGGUGUGGAUUUGGCAGAGAUGGAAUGUUUCAAGGCGAGGGCAAUGCAGAUAAUUCGCAUGUCGAGGGAUCCGUCAAGAUAUCUCGAGUUGAUGCGAAUUAAGGCGGAUUCAUUACUGGAUUCUGGUGGGUCUUCGGAACGAGGGUUGUGCUCGUCGCCGGAAAUUCCUCUUCCCCUGCAGGUUGGCACGACGACACUUGUACUGAAUGGAGCUCAGCUAGCUGCUCCUGAGAUUGAUAUUACUGGGCGAUGCCAUGGAAAUAAGCCUUUGGCUGGGUCUGAUUCUAAAGCAGCAGAGGGGCAAGUGGAUUUGGGGAUGAAUGAUGCUGCAGUUGGCGUUCGUUCAGAGGGGCAGUGCCUUCUUCAACUGUGUGCUAAUGCUGACCUGGGAAUUCAACAAUUUAUGUUUUGCAAUACAAAAGAACUGGAUUGGAUAUGUGCGUGCAUGUUUUCGGAUACAAACAUAUCCAGUUAUCGCUUUGUUCAUGGAGUCCCGGUGGAAGAGGAGCCAGAUCCAGGAGGAUUUUGGUUGUCUGUUAAAUAUACAGUUAAAGUGCAGUUUCAAAGUUUGUUAACAAGUACAUGGAAGAAGAUCCAGCGGAAUACAAAAUGGGGUUUCUAG